UGGGGACGCGAGCGGCGGAUGGGUGAGUAACACGUGGGGAACCUGCCCCAUAGUCUGGGAUACCACUUGGAAACAGGUGCUAAUACCGGAUAAGAAAGCAGAUCGCAUGAUCAGCUUAUAAAAGGCGGCGUAAGCUGUCGCUAUGGGAUGGCCCCGCGGUGCAUUAGCUAGUUGGUAAGGCAACGGCUUACCAAGGCAAUGAUGCAUAGCCGAGUUGAGAGACUGAUCGGCCACAUUGGGACUGAGACACGGCCCAAACUCCUACGGGAGGCAGCAGUAGGGAUCUUCCACAAUGGACGCAAGUCUGAUGGAGCAACGCCGCGUGAGUGAAGAAGGUUUUCGGAUCGUAAAGCUCUGUUGUUGGUGAAGAAGGAUAGAGGCAGUAACUGGCCUUUAUUUGACGGUAAUCAACCAGAAAGUCACGGCUAACUACGUGCCAGCAGCCGCGGUAAUACGUAGGUGGCAAGCGUUGUCCGGAUUUAUUGGGCGUAAAGCGAGCGCAGGCGGAAGAAUAAGUCUGAUGUGAAAGCCCUCGGCUUAACCGAGGAACUGCAUCGGAAACUGUUUUUCUUGAGUGCAGAAGAGGAGAGUGGAACUCCAUGUGUAGCGGUGGAAUGCGUAGAUAUAUGGAAGAACACCAGUGGCGAAGGCGACUCUCUGGUCUGCAACUGACGCUGAGGCUCGAAAGCAUGGGUAGCGAACAGGAUUAGAUACCCUGGUAGUCCAUGCCGUAACGAUGAGUGCUAAGUGUUGGGAGGUUUCCGCCUCUCAGUGCUGCAGCUAACGCAUUAAGCACUCCGCCUGGGGAGUACGACCGCAAGGUUGAAACUCAAAGGAAUUGACGGGGGCCCGCACAAGCGGUGGAGCAUGUGGUUUAAUUCGAAGCAACGCGAAGAACCU
rnacentral:rRNA from 1 species